CUACGGGACGCUGCAGUGGGGAAUAUUGCGCAAUGGGCGAAAGCCUGACGCAGCCACGCCGCGUGUGUGAUGAAGGCCUUCGGGUCGUAAAGCACUGUCGGGAGGAAAGAAGUUCUGACGGUACCUCCCAAGAAAGCACCGGCUAACUCCGUGCCAGCAGCCGCGGUAAGACGGAGGGUGCAAGCGUUGCUCGGAAUCACUGGGCGUAAAGCGUACGCAGGCGGCCUGGUAAGUCGGGUGUGAAAUCCCGAGGCUCAACCUCGGAAUUGCGUCCGAUACUGUCAGGCUUGAAUACGGGAGAGGGAAGUGGAAUUCCUGGUGUAGAGGUGAAAUUCGUAGAUAUCAGGAGGAACACCAGUGGCGAAAGCGGCUUCCUGGCCCGAUAUUGACGCUCAUGUACGAAAGCGUGGGGAGCAAACAGGAUUAGAUACCCCUGUAGUC
rnacentral:rRNA from 1 species